rnacentral:lncRNA from 1 species
GGUGUCCUCCUUCAUCCCAGGCUGCCAGGCUAGGCAGGGGGCAGCGGCUGCCCUGGUCCUCACAGCCCUGGCUGCGGGGCCGGUGACAGCCAGAUCCUCAUGCUUCUGCGACCACAGCGCUGCCUUCAGACACCUCUCUGCUGGCAUAUUCCUGGGUCCAUGUGAGCUACCUGUUUUGCUCUAAGAUAUCCUGGAUGUGACGCUCAGCUCUGUCACUGGCUUCCACAUACUCCCUACUCCUACACCUCAAAAAUCCGUGUUCCCCACGCAUUCAUCUUCAGGAUGGAAGAAGGAAAAGUAUUUUUAAAAGGCAAUCUAAAGCUCAUACUGUGACUGCAACAUAAAAUGUGUUCACCUUAGGAGACUGCUUUCACCGCAAGUGGGUCACCGGGCAGCUGAUCCAGGACCGUCCACUUCCCAGCCAGCAGGAGGAUGGAAAAGCGGAAUGGAGGGGGAGACAACCUCCUUUGCAGGGCGUGACUGGGAAGUUGGACAUAUCAUUUCCAGCCGCUUUCCAUGGACCAGAAUUAGCCCUGUGACCAACUCUGGCUGCCAGAAAGUCUGGGAAAUACAGUCUCUGCUUGGGCGAUCAGGCAGGCAGUUAUAUCUUUGGGAACAUCUCUCACCCCCUGGGAACACCUGAGCAGAAACUGAAGGACAUUUAACAGAUUCCCCUUUGUGUCUAAUAAGAAUUCCCCCCCCAUCAGUCGGGGCUCUCCUAUGUGCUGGGUACAUAGGUCAUCUUUACACAACCCAGCAAUGGAGAGCACACCAUUCCCA